rnacentral:lncRNA from 1 species
UCUUUUUCUCCUCGUCUUCUUCGUCUCCGGCAAGAAACCGGCCUGUACCGGUUUCCACGGCUCCGCCGUACCGGUAGCUGGCCGGACCGGUUUGUACCGGCCCGUACCGGCCGGUACGGGCCGGUUCGGCAUACGCUGGUUCCAAGUUUAUAUUGCAAAUAAAUUCAUAAAUCAUUCUUUCCAUUUAGCCAAACGUAGUUUAAAACGUUACUCAUAGAUAUUCAUUCUGUGGCCACUUUAUACCCGUGACAGAGCUCGGAUUCAUAAUCAACAAAGCAUUAUGUUUCAUAAUGAUAACUCUAUACCUGUUGGCAGGGCCUGUGUUCGUAUGAAAGUAGUUACGGUGUCGAUUUUUCCUAGUACUAGGGGUCAUACAUAGCUAUCUAAGAGCCUUAAAAGCAUUUAUAUCCCUUUUCUUAAAGCAUACACAUAAGUAGAGAUGGGCAUUGCCGGCCCGGC